GGAGACGACCGAGUGCCUGGUGGCCUCCGCGGCCUUCAAAGCCGCUGGCACCCAAUGCGGGUGUGGGGGGUUCGAUUCCCUCCGUCUCCGCCA
rnacentral:tRNA from 1 species